GAAGAGAUGAUGGGGCUGACAAGGAGGGAAGGGAGGCAGAGGCGAGUCAACUCCAACCCGCCCGGUCACCGGCCGGAGGGGAGAAUGGCGGAGACGACGGGGACAGCUCAGACCCACCGGCUCCGCGCGCGCGCCGAGGCGGCGGUGGCGGCCCUGGUGGACGUCCGCCCCCACGAGAUGCCCCCGCUGACGAGCGCCGCCUCAACCUUCUUUUUCAUCCUGAGCGCCUACUUCGUGGUGCUGCCGCUGCGGGACGAGGGGGCCAUCUCUCUGGGCCUCGGCGCCCUCCCGGGCCUCUUCGCCGGCUCGCUCGUGCUCACCGUCCUCGCCGCCCCCGUCGCAUCCCUCGCCUUCUCGCUCCCGUCCGUCCCCAAGUCCAGGGCUUUGGUUUUGAUACACAGGUUCUUCAGCAUAUCCCUUCUUGUAUUUUUUGUGCUUUGGUUUGCCUCGAAGCCGGGCUCCCCAUCUACCGCCCAGUCAAGUGAAGAUAGUUCAAAUAAACCUGCUGGGUGGGGAAACCACAGCUGGUUAUACAUAGUUGUGAGAAUAAGCUUCUUUCUUUGGGUUGCUUUGCUUAAUCUCAUUACAAUAUCAUCCACUUGGGCAAGGGUAAUUGAUGUCAUGGACAGUGAGGUUCAAGAUUGUUUGGUUUUAUUGGGGCUGGUGCUACGCUAGGGCAACUUUUUGGUUCUUUGUUUGCUGCAAGCAUGGCAUGGAUGGGACCCUUUCUGCUCCUAUUUUCCUCCCUCUUGAUGGAACUUGCUGCACUGUCAUCUAAAGGAAUUUGCAUUGAUGCUAAUCAUGGUUCAACAGAAUUGCUAUCAACAGGAGCAGAACCAAGUCAAAAUACCGAGCUUGGUGAUGAAAUGUCUUCGCUGGUCCCUUCACCUAGAACACCUUCCCAAUCUCAAAAGACAAAGCCUGGGAUUUUUGUGAUGUUUGAAGGUUUCUGGCUGAUCAUGCGCUCGCCUUACCUGAUAUACAUAUCUCUGCUUCUAUGGCUGAGUGCAGUUGUCUCAUCCUUCUUUUACUUCCAGAAAGUAACUAUAGUUGCUACUACAAUAUCAAGCCCAACUGCCAGAAGGAGAACAUUUGCACUGAUAAACAGCUUUAUAGCAGUUUUUAUUCUUGCCGGACAGCUCACUUUGACGGGUCAUAUCCUUACAGUAGCUGGUGUAACAGUUGCUAUUUGCGCAUCUCCAUUUAUUGCUGCCUCAAAUUUGAUUGCCCUUGCUGUAUGGCCAACUUGGGUUGCUGUUGCUGUCACUGAAACAAUUCGAAAGGUAACUACCUAUGUUUUGACUAGACCGGGAAGGGAGUUAUUAUUUACUGUUGUCUCACAGGAUGAGAAGUACAAAGCCAAGGUCUGUAUAGAUGUUAUUGUUCAAAGGCUUGGUGAUGCGACAGCUGCUGGAAUUUACACAUUACUUUUCAGCAGCUUUGAGAAGAAAAUAUCCAUUGUCAACCUCUAUGCAUUGCCGCUCUGCUUUGUCUGGCUUCUCAUUGCAUUUCAUUUGGGACGGCUCCAGACAAAUCUUGCCAAGCUUCAGGCAGCCUCUGACCCGUCCUAGUUCCUCCCAAACAUGUAUCUGGAACCUAAAUAAUAGGUAUCGUGGUGCUUCUUGACAUCUAUCAAGACAUGUGGCUGAGUAAGGCUGUUUGUGCAUGGCCUUUACUUUUCUAGGAUAUCGACUCAAUACACGGAAGUGGUUCGAGAAUCCAGAAGUACGGUAUGUCACGAAGACGAGGUUUUUGCCACCAGCAUUGAAUUUGUCUGCACAUUUCAAAGGGGCUACAAAUUGACAACACGGAAAUUCGAAUAUAACACUGGAAGUAAAGUAACUACCUGAAGGGUGAACAUAGAGGAAGACAUAAAUAGUACUGGCAGGCUAGCAGCUUAGAGUAUAAGAAUACACGAAUUUUGUAUCUGCUUUUAGUCCAUCCUUUCAUGGUGGAAAAUUGUGUCAUGCAAACUUUAAGCAUGUUAAUUCAUUGUUUAUGGGGAAAAGUAGGGCUGGAUAGGUUGGGCAUUGUUCUGCUGCGCUGCAUAAAAUAAUGUACUGUCCAAUACCACUCCCAGACUGCAUAUCAUUUGCAGAGAUGUGUAAUACCGACAACCAUCUGAUGAACCUGGACUACUGAUGCGACGGUGAAAUACUUCUGUAUAUGUGUGUGAUUUGAACUGGC
rnacentral:rRNA from 1 species